GGAAUUUUCCGCAAUGGGCGCAAGCCUGACGGAGCAAUACCGCGUGAGGGAGGAAGGUCUGUGGAUUGUAAACCUCUUUUGAUAGGGAAGAAGUUUUGACGGUACCUAUCGAAUCAGCAUCGGCUAACUCCGUGCCAGCAGCCGCGGUAAUACGGAGGAUGCAAGCGUUAUCCGGAUUUAUUGGGCGUAAAGCGUCCGUAGGUGGUUAAUCAAGUCUAUUGUCAAAGCCUGGGGCUUAACCCUGGAGAGGCGGUAGAAACUGGUUAACUAGAGUGCGGUAGGGGCAGAGGGAAUUCCCAGUGUAGCGGUGAAAUGCGUAGAUAUUGGGAAGAACACCGGUGGCGAAAGCGCUCUGCUGGGCCUGCACUGACACUGAGGGACGAAAGCUAGGGGAGCGAAAAGGAUUAGAUACCCCAGUAGUC
rnacentral:rRNA from 1 species